rnacentral:rRNA from 1 species
CCUACGGGAGGCAGCAGUGGGGAAUUUUGGACAAUGGGCGCAAGCCUGAUCCAGCAAUGCCGCGUGAGUGAAGAAGGCCUUCGGGUUGUAAAGCUCUUUUGUCAGGGAAGAAACGGUGGGAGCUAAUAUCUUCUGCUAAUGACGGUACCUGAAGAAUAAGCACCGGCUAACUACGUGCCAGCAGCCGCGGUAAUACGUAGGGUGCAAGCGUUAAUCGGAAUUACUGGGCGUAAAGCGUGCGCAGGCGGUUGUGCAAGACAGAUGUGAAAUCCCCGGGCUCAACCUGGGAAUUGCAUUUGUGACUGCACGGCUAGAGUGUGUCAGAGGGGGGUAGAAUUCCACGUGUAGCAGUGAAAUGCGUAGAGAUGUGGAGGAAUACCGAUGGCGAAGGCAGCCCCCUGGGAUAACACUGACGCUCAUGCACGAAAGCGUGGGGAGCAAACAGGAUUAGAUACCCUGGUAGUCCACGCCCUAAACGAUNUCUACUAGUUGUCGGUCGUUAUUAGUACGUGUACGACGAGCGUACGACGNGAAGUAAGACCGCCGUUGGGAGGUACGGUUCGGCGAGAAGUUAAACUUACAAUUAGAGUUAGACGGCGUUGGAGACGUUGCCGACGGACGACGACGAGGGGAGGUAGGAG